AAGUCGUAACAAGGUUUCCGUAGGUGAACCUGCGGAAGGAUCAUUACCCUUUCAAUGCACAAGGAUCGAGCGGGUACAGGUGACUGUAUCCUCUCUCCUUGCUGUAUUACGCCCUUGUUUUUCAAUUUCUAUUUGUUUCCUCGGCAGGAUUUCCUGCCGGUUGGAUAAAACUAUAACCUUUUUUUAUCUUCAAUCAGCGUCUGAACAAGUUAAUAAUUACAACUUUCAACAACGGAUCUCUUGGUUCUG
rnacentral:misc_RNA from 1 species